rnacentral:rRNA from 1 species
AUUGAACGCUGGCGGCAGGCCUAACACAUGCAAGUCGAACGAGUGGCGGACGGGUGUGUAAUUUCUGAGAAAGUGCCUGAUGGAGGGGGCUCACUACUGGAAACGGUAGCUAAUACCGCAAAACGUCAGAUGGGCCCAGGUGGGAUUAGCUAGUUGGUGGGGUAACGGCUCACCAAGGCGACGAUCCCUAGCUGGUCUGAGAGGAUGACCCGCCACACUGGAACUGAGACACGGUCCAGACUCCUACGGGAGGCAGCAGUGGGGAAUAUUGCACAAUGGGCGCAAGCCUGAUGCAGCCAUGCCGCGUGUAUGAAGAAGGCCUUCGGGUUGUAAAGUACUUUCAGCGGGGAGGCGUUACCCGCAGAAGAAGCACCGGCUAACUCCGUGCCAGCAGCCGCGGUAAUAC